rnacentral:rRNA from 1 species
ACCAGCAGCUAUAACUGCAACUCACAACUGACAACCCACUGAAGCUCAGCAGGUGUGAGCCUGGUCAGUACCUGGAUGGGAGACCUCCUGGGAAAAACUAGGGUUGCUGCUGGAA